rnacentral:rRNA from 1 species
AUUGAACGCUAGCGGGAUGCUUUACACAUGCAAGUCGAACGAGUGGCGGACGGGUGAGUAAUGUAUGGGGACUGCCCGAUAGAGGGGGAUAACUACUGGAAACGGUAGCUAAUACCGCAUACUAUCGGAUAACCCAUAUGGGAUUAGCUAGUAGGUGCGUUAAGGGCUCACCUAGGCGACGAUCCCUAGCGGGUCUGAGAGGAUGAUCAGCCACCCUGUUACUGACACCCGGCCCCGACUCCUACGGAGGCAGCGUUGGGGAAUAUUGCCCAAUGGGCGCAAGCCGUAUGCAGCCAUGCCGCGUGUAUGAAGAAGGCCCUAGGGUUUUAAAGUACUUUCAGUCGGGAGGCGUUACCGACAGAAGAAGCACCGGCUAACUCCGUGCCAGCAGCCGCGGUAAUUC